rnacentral:lncRNA from 1 species
AUGAAAGGCUUAAAGGACAUAGUUUGGGAGCUUCCAGAGAGCUUAAAACGUGGAGGCUGGUGGAAAGCUAUUUGUUGCAGAGAUGCCCUGGAAAGCAGGUGGUCUUCCUUAUAUGACAGCAUCUGCUGCUCAGAACGAGAGCCCGAAGAUCUAAAGGCAAAGGAAAUGAAACCGCAGUCCUAUAAAUGCCUUUUUAAAAAUAGCCUUGUUUUUUAUUAUUUUUUGUUGAAUCAACUGGAACAUUUUUAUUGUUCACAAUAAAGCAAAUUGUCUAAAGGCAAUGAUCCUCCUCCUUUUAUAUUUCUGAUACUAGGGUUUGUUUUUUCCCAAUCAUUUACUGGAUCAGGUUUCUUCCCUAAGAUUUUACAAAUGGUGUGGGUGGCUGCAAACCCUCUGAAGGUUUUCUAAAGCCAUUUGUUAAUAAUAUCCUCUCAGCAUUGACUCCAGCCUUUAUAGUUGUGAUUGUUAGUGAAGCUUCAAGGGCACGGUGGUGUGUUUUUAUUAUUCCAGCCCUUGGGGAGAAAAGAAAUCCCAGGAGGACUUUUGGCUGGCUUAUUAUCAUCCAGAAACAAGAAAUCAGAAAGCCUAAGCUAAAAGGCUGAACAUGUUUUAAAACUAUUUAAAGCUGAUCGGACAGUGUGGCAUAUGUAAUAAAAAAGAACAGGGGUUCAGCGCUCCUAAGGACCUGAAUUUAAAUCCGAGAUCUGCUACUUACUAAAUGUGUAACACUGGUCACUCAAGACAUUGUUUUGUUUUGUUUUGUUUGAGAGGGGGGUCUCUCUCUGUUGCCAGGUGGGAGUGCAGUGGCACAAUCUCAGCUCACUGCAACCUCUGUCUCCUGGGUUCAAGUGAUCCCCCAGCCUCAGCCUCCCAAGUAGCUGGGACUACAGGCACGUGCCACCACGCCUAGCUAAUUUUUGUAUUUUUAGUAGAGACGGGGUUUCACAUUGUUAGCCAGGAUGAUCCUGACCUCGGGAUCUUUCCACCCUGGUUGUGCUGGGAUUACAGGAGUGAGACACUGCACCCGGCCCAGUCACUCAAGAUUUUAAGC